rnacentral:rRNA from 1 species
AUUGAACGCUGGCGGCAGGCUUAACACAUGCACGUCGAACGAGUGGCGGACGGGUGAGUAAUGCUUGGGAAUCUGGCUUAUGGAGGGGGAUAACGACGGGAAACUGUCGCUAAUACCGCGUACCAUAGGAUGAGCCCAAGUGGGAUUAGGUAGUAGGUGGGGUAAUGGCCUACCAAGGCGACGAUCCCUAGCUGGUCUGAGAGGAUACCCAGCCAAACGGGGAGUAGUACACGUCCCGGACUCCUACGGGAGGCAGCAGGGGGGAAUAUGGCGCAAUGGGGGCAACCGGAGGCAGCCAGGCCGCGUGAAGGAAGAGGGCCUGCGGGUUGUAAGGUUCUUUCGGUGACGAGGCGUUAAUCACGGAAGAAGCACCGGCGAACUCGGUGCCAGCAGCCGCGGUAAUAC